rnacentral:rRNA from 1 species
UGAGGAAUAUUGGUCAAUGGACGCAAGUCUGAACCAGCCAUGCCGCGUGCAGGAUGACUGCCUUAUGGGUUGUAAACUGCUUUUGAUUAGGAAGAAAUGUACCCACGUGUGGGUAUUUGACGGUACUAAUCGAAUAAGGAUCGGCUAACUCCGUGCCAGCAGCCGCGGUAAUACGGAGGAUCCGAGCGUUAUCCGGAAUCAUUGGGUUUAAAGGGUCCGUAGGCGGAUAGAUAAGUCAGAGGUGAAAGUUUGUGGCUCAACCAUAAAAUUGCCUUUGAUACUGUUUAUCUUGAAUAAGUGUGAAGUGGUUAGAAUGAGUAGUGUAGCGGUGAAAUGCAUAGAUAUUACUCGGAAUACCAAUUGCGAAGGCAGAUCACUAACACUUUAUUGACGCUGAGGG